UCAUGCACAGACUGCCCUUUCCAGUUCUUGUCCCCAUAUUUCCAGACAGGUUAAACUUCUUGCACUGCCUUGACCAGUCAGUAAGCUUCCAUCAACCCCUUCUCAUACUGCCUACAUGUCCCACACCCUUGAUUAUCAGGCUUCUCACCUUUUAAAUUCCUCCAUUAUGACUUUACAAAUUCAGCCUUGAUCUCUACCUUGGCCCUUCACCCAGCCAGAAUUAACAGUCCUGCUUUCAUGCCUUUGCUUGCCACCCAGCUUAGCCUCUUAUCUCAGCUUCUGAAACAUUCUUCAAGGAUAGAAGAGUCUAUGAAGUACAGAAAAGAGGAAAGAUCUGCAAACAAUUCGGUAUCUUCUUUUAACUUGAAACUCAUUCUACCCACUGCUACAGCUAGUGCAUUUGUGCUGAAGCUCUCAGA
rnacentral:lncRNA from 1 species